GCCUUCUUGUGUAGUGGUGAGCACGCUCGACGCGUAUUCGAGAGGUCCGUGGUUCAAAUCCCGGCGAGGACA
rnacentral:tRNA from 1 species